GGGACUGGAACACAGGUGCUGCAUGGCUGUCGUCAGCUCGUGUCGUGAGAUGUUGGGUUAAGUCCCGCAACGAGCGCAACCCUCGUCCUUAGUUGCCAUCAUUCAGUUGGGCACUCUAAGGAAACCGCCGGUGAUAAGCCGGAGGAAGGUGGGGAUGACGUCAAGUCCUCAUGGCCCUUACGCGCUGGGCUACACACGUGCUACAAUGGCGGUGACAGUGGGCAGCAAUCUCGCAAGGGUGAGCUAAUCUCCAAAAGCCGUCUCAGUUCGGAUUGUUCUCUGCAACUCGAGAGCAUGAAGGCGGAAUCGCUAGUAAUCGCGGAUCAGCAUGCCGCGGUGAAUACGUUCCCAGGCCUUGUACACACCGCCCGUCACACCAUGGGAGUUGGAUUCACCCGAAGGCAGUGCGCUAACCGCAAGGAGGCAGCUGACCACGGUGGGUUCAGCGACUGGGGUG
rnacentral:rRNA from 1 species